UAGGGAAUCUUCGGCAAUGGGGGGCAACCCUGACCGAGCAACGCCGCGUGAGUGAAGAAGGUUUUCGGANCGUAAAGCUCUGUUGUAAGAGAAGAACGUGUGUGAGAGUGGAAAGUUCACACAGUGACGGUAACUUACCAGAAAGGGACGGCUAACUACGUGUCAG
rnacentral:rRNA from 1 species